ACCAGAGUUUGGGAGCGGCACCCUGGUUCCGGGAGCGAGGCAAAGAACACAGAACUAAAAGACCUGCCAUUCCAGGGUCAGUCUGUGCAAAAAUUCACGGAGUAUAUAGAAUGUGCACUGCAAAGCCACAGAGAACUGCUUCAUUUGCCCACAGUUCUUCUACUCACAAUACUGCCUCCAAAUCUGAGGAGUUAAACACAAGUUUAUCACCAGAAAUAGCAAAAAGCAAGAGAAAUUAAGUUUCAAGCUCAUACAGCAAGAGAAAAACAGCCCUGCUUUUUCAACAAGAUGAAGAAGGAGAUAAAAAGGUGAGGAUCUUUCUUCUAUAUCAAAAGUUAGAAAAAAUGGCUUUUCAUAAAGAGGAAAUGAAAAAUAAGGCAUUCUAAACAGAUACAAAUAAAGCCGGGAUAU